GAUGACUGGAUAUGUAGAGCGC
rnacentral:miRNA from 1 species